UUUCUUGGUCAUUUAGAGGAAGUAAAAGUCGUAACAAGGUUUCCGUAGGUGAACCUGCGGAAGGAUCAUUACNGAGUCGUUGACACGAGUUGUUGCUGGUCCUCGAAAGGGGACANGUGCACGCUCUGUUUACACAUCCACUCACACCUGUGCACCCUCUGUAGUUAUACGGUCUGGGGGGCUCUGCCUCCCUUCUGUGGUUCUGCAUCUUUACACACACGCUGUAACAAAGUCUUAUGGAAUGCGCACCGCGUUUAACGCAAUACAAUACAACUUUCAGCAACGGAUCUCUUGGCUCUCGCAUCGAUGAAGAACGCAGCGAAAUGCGAUAAGUAAUGUGAAUUGCAGAAUUCAGUGAAUCAUCGAAUCUUUGAACGCACCUUGCGCCCUUUGGCCAUUCCGAAGGGCAUGCCUGUUUGAGUAUCAUGAACACCUCAACUCUCAUGGUUCGCCACGAUGAGCUUGGACUUUGGGGGCUUUGCUGGCCUACGGUCGGCUCCUCUCAAAUGAAUCAGCUUGCCAGUGUUUGGUGGCAUCACGGGUGUGAUAACUAUCUACGCUUGCGAUUGUCCACCAGGUAACCUCCAGCAGUGGAGGUUCGCUGGGGCUCAUAGACGUCUCUCCUCGGUGAGGACAGCUUUUUAACGUUCGAUCUCAAAUCAGGA
rnacentral:rRNA from 1 species